AGUGGUCGAGCGGUAAUGCGCUUGCCUGGCGUUCUGCAGGUCGGCGGUUCAAAUGCCAC
rnacentral:tRNA from 16 species